UACGAAGGGGGCUAGCGUUGCUCGGAAUUACUGGGCGUAAAGCGCACGUAGGCGGCUCUUUAAGUCGGGGGUGAAAUCCUGGAGCUCAACUCCAGAACUGCCUUCGAUACUGUAGAGCUUGAGUUCGGGAGAGGUGAGUGGAACUGCGAGUGUAGAGGUGAAAUUCGUAGAUAUUCGCAAGAACACCAGUGGCGAAGGCGGCUCACUGGCCCGAUACUGACGCUGAGGUGCGAAAGUGUGGGGAUCAAACAGG
rnacentral:rRNA from 1 species